GCAGUUUGUUUGACCGUGCGGAAGAACAUUG
rnacentral:rRNA from 1 species